rnacentral:lncRNA from 1 species
UCAGCCUCCCAAGUAGCUGGGGCUACAGGCACCUGCCACCAAACCCGGCUAAUUUUUUUGUAUUUUUAGUAGAGACGGGGUUUCACCGUGUUAGCCAGGAUCGUCUUGAUCUCCUGACCUUGUGAUCCACCCGCCUCGGCCUCCCAAAUUGCUGGGAUUACAGAUGUGAGCCACCGCACCUGGUCCAAGAACCCAAGUUUUAGAUCUAGAGUGAUGUCAGCAUGACAUUGAUUUCCUGAGGCCCAGGGGCGAAGGAGCUGAGGACAGCAGAGGGGUGAAGGAACUCAGCUACAGACAGCAGCAGCUGAUGCACAGGCCUCCCAGCGCCUGAAGUCACCCGGAAUUGGGAAGUGCUCAGAAGCUUACAAAGCUGCCUCGAGGUGGGAACAUGACAUAAAUCCAAGAGCAGAUCCCUGAUCCUAUAAAAAUGUACUAGAUGCAGUGGGGGCAUUUUAAAUGAGCAGAGAAGGACAGACAGAUAAACAGAAGGACAAACAGUAUUGGGAUUGGGAUAAAUGCUCAGCUUUUGCCCAAAUCUUAGUGACUUAAGCAUCACUUAUUUGCUCACGAUUCUGUGGCUGGACCAUUUGGUUUGGCUCACAGGGCAGGGACUGUGCUGGUCUUACCUGAGCAGACCUGCAUGUCUGCGGUCAACUGGGUUGGCAGAGACAGAGUGACUGUCUUCCUCCAGGAAGCAGCAGGUUAACUGGUUGGCAGAGACAGAGGGACAGAGGGACUGUCUUCCUCCAGGAAGCAGCAGGUUAACUGGUUGGCAGAGACAGAGGGACAGAGGGACUGUCUUCCUCCAGGAAGCAGCAGGUUGGCUCUGUUUCCUUCGUGGGGCAGCUGGUCUCCAGGGCAGCAAGAGAGACCAAGCCCCAGUGCACAUUCUACAGCCUCUGUGCACAUCAGACUUGUUAAUAUCCCAUUGGCCAGUGUAAGUCACUUGGCCAAGCCCAGAUUAAGGAGUGGAAAGAUGGAGGCUAUCUCCUCCUGGGAGAGGAGGCAAAGGAGGUGGGAGUAUUAUGUGGCCACUUAUGUUUGCAAUCUACCAUACUUAGCACUUUGAGAAAAGAAUUAACUGAGAAACUUGCUUCAAAUAGGGCCAGUAAAAUGAAGCCCCAAUUGAAGUAAAAUGCAUAUAUAAAAAAUGAAACUGUGACCGAUUUUAAGGACAGUAUUGGCAAAUAUUUCUGUGCUCUUGGAGGAGAAGACCCUUAUUGGCAUGACAUGUCAGAAACCACAAUGAAAGAAUUAUUUUAACUUGCAUUCAUAAAAAUUAAAAUUAUUCAUUAAAAACAUCGUGAAUGAAAUUAAAA